rnacentral:rRNA from 1 species
CCUACGGGAGGCAGCAGUGGGGAAUAUUGGACAAUGGGCGCAAGCCUGAUCCAGCCAUGCCGCGUGUGUGAAGAAGGCCUUCGGGUUGUAAAGCACUUUCGGACGGAACGAAAUCGCGCGAUCUAACAAGUCGCGUGGAUGACGGUACCGUAAGAAAAAGCACCGGCUAACUACGUGCCAGCAGCCGCGGUAA